rnacentral:rRNA from 1 species
CCAGACCGCCAGCUAAGGUCCCAAAGUCAUGGUUAAGUGGGAAACGAUGUGGGAAGGCCCAGACAGCCAGGAUGUUGGCUUAGAAGCAGCCAUCAUUUAAAGAAAGCGUAAUAGCUCACUGGUCGAGUCGGCCUGCGCGGAAGAUGUAACGGGGCUAAACCAUGCACCGAAGCUGCGGCAGCGACGCUGAUGCGUUGUUGGGUAGGGGAGCGUUCUGUAAGCCUGCGAAGGUGGCCUGUGAGGGUUGCUGGAGGUAUCAGAAGUGCGAAUGCUGACAUAAGUAACGAUAAAGCGGGUGAAAAGCCCGCUCGCCGGAAGACCAAGGGUUCCUGUCCAACGUUAAUCGGGGCAGGGUGAGUCGACCCCUAAGGCGAGGCCGAAAGGCGUAGUCGAUGGGAAACGGGUUAAUAUUCCCGUACUUGGUGUUACUGCGAAGGGGGGACGGAGAAGGCUAUGUUGGCCGGGCGACGGUUGUCCCGGUUUAAGCGUGUAGGUGUGUGUUCCAGGUAAAUCCGGUUCACUUUAACACUGAGGCGUGAUGACGAGGCACUACGGUGCUGAAGCAACAAAUGCCCUGCUUCCAGGAAAAGCCUCUAAGCAUCAGGUAACAUCAAAUCGUACCCCAAACCGACACAGGUGGUCAGGUAGAGAAUACCAAGGCGCUUGAGAGAACUCGGGUGAAGGAACUAGGCAAAAUGGUGCCGUAACUUCGGGAGAAGGCACGCUGACACGUAGGUGAAGUGAUUUACUCAUGGAGCUGAAGUCAGUCGAAGAUACCAGCUGGCUGCAACUGUUUAUUAAAAACACAGCACUGUGCAAACACGAAAGUGGACGUAUACGGUGUGACGCCUGCCCGGUGCCGGAAGGUUAAUUGAUGGGGUCAGCGCAAGCGAAGCUCCUGAUCGAAGCCCCGGUAAACGGCGGCCGUAACUAUAACGGUCCUAAGGUAGCGAAAUUCCUUGUCGGGUAAGUUCCGACCUGCACGAAUGGCGUAAUGAUGGCCAGGCUGUCUCCACCCGAGACUCAGUGAAAUUGAACUCGCUGUGAAGAUGCAGUGUACCCGCGGCAAGACGGAAAGACCCCGUGAACCUUUACUAUAGCUUGACACUGAACAUUGAGCCUUGAUGUGUAGGAUAGGUGGGAGGCUUUGAAGUGUGGACGCCAGUCUGCAUGGAGCCGGCCUUGAAAUACCACCCUUUAAUGUUUGAUGUUCUAACGUGGACCCGUGAUCCGGGUUGCGGACAGUGUCUGGUGGGUAGUUUGACUGGGGCGGUCUCCUCCUAAAGAGUAACGGAGGAGCACGAAGGUUGGCUAAUCCUGGUCGGACAUCAGGAGGUUAGUGCAAUGGCAUAAGCCAGCUUGACUGCGAGCGUGACGGCGCGAGCAGGUGCGAAAGCAGGUCAUAGUGAUCCGGUGGUUCUGAAUGGAAGGGCCAUCGCUCAACGGAUAAAAGGUACUCCGGGGAUAACAGGCUGAUACCGCCCAAGAGUUCAUAUCGACGGCGGUGUUUGGCACCUCGAUGUCGGCUCAUCACAUCCUGGGGCUGAAGUAGGUCCCAAGGGUAUGGCUGUUCGCCAUUUAAAGUGGUACGCGAGCUGGGUUUAGAACGUCGUGAGACAGUUCGGUCCCUAUCUGCCGUGGGCGCUGGAGAACUGAGGGGGGCUGCUCCUAGUACGAGAGGACCGGAGUGGACGCAUCACUGGUGUUCGGGUUGUCAUGCCAAUGGCACUGCCCGGUAGCUAAAUGCGGAAGAGAUAAGUGCUGAAAGCAUCUAAGCACGAAACUUGCCCCGAGAUGAGUUCUCCCUGAGACUUAGAGUCUCCUGAAGGAACGUUGAAGACGACGACGUUGAUAGGCCGGGUGUGUAAGCGCAGCGAUGCGUUGAGCUAACCGGUACUAAUGAACCGUGAGGCUUAACCUUACA